rnacentral:rRNA from 1 species
UGCCAGUAGUCAUAUGCUUGUCUUAAAGAUUAAGCCAUGCAUGUCUCAGUGCAAGCUAAAUUAAAGUGAAACCGCGGAAGGCUCAUUAUAUCAGCUAUGGUUCCUUAGAUGGUACCAAAGUAUACUUGGAUAACUGUGGCAAUUCUAGAGCUAAUACAUGCAAAUAGAGUCCCUGCCUCCCAAGGCAGGGAUGCUUUUAUUAGAUCAAAACCAACCGGCCUUCGGGCUAGUUGCUCUUGGUGACUCUGACUAACUUUGGGCUGAUCGCACGGUCACGUACCGGCGACGCAUCUUUCAAAUGUCUGCCUUAUCAACUAUCGAUGGUAGGCUCUACGCCUACCAUGGUUGUAACGGGUGACGGGGAAUCAGGGUUCGAUUCCGGAGAGGGAGCCUGAGAGACAGCUACCACAUCCAAGGAAGGCAGCAGGCGCGCAAAUUACCCACUCCCGGCACGGGGAGGUAGUGACGAUAAAUAACGAUGCAGAACUCUUUCCGAGGCUCUGCAAUCGGAAUGAGCACACUCUAAAUCAUUUAACGAGUAUCCAUCGGAGGGCAAGCCUGGUGCCAGCAGCUGCGGUAAUUCCAGCUCCGAUAGCGUAUAUUAAAGUUGUUGCGGUUAAAAAGCUCGUAGUUGGAUCUGUGUUUCACUCUGUCGGUUCGUUGCCCGUCAACGUUUAACUGGCAUGCAAGUGGAACGUCCUGCCGGUUGGCAACGCGCGUCCGCAAGGGCGUGCGUGCGCCAGUUGGAUCCUGUCUAGGUCCUCUUCACCGAGAGUCGAGGCAGGCCGGCACGUUUACUUUGAACAAAUUUGAGUGCUUAAAGCAGGCUGUUACGCCUGAAAACUGGUUGCAUGGAAUAAUGGAAUAGGACCUCGGUUCUACUUUGUUGGUUUUCGGAGCCCGAGGUAAUGAUUAAUAGGGACGGGCGGGGGCAUUAGUAUUGCGACGUUAGAGGUGAAAUUCUAAGAUCGUCGCAGGACUAACCUAAGCGAAAGCAUUUGCCAAGGAUGCUUCCUUUAAUCAAGAACGAAAGUUAGAUGAUCGAAGGCGAUCAGAUACCGCCCUAGUUCUAACCAUAAACGAUGCCAGCCAGCAAUCCGUCGCUGUUCCUCCGAUGACUCGACGGGCAGCUUCCGGGAAACUUAAGCUUUUAGGUUCCGGGGGAAGUAUGGUUGCAAAGCUGAAACUUAAAGGAAUUGACGGAAGGGCACCACCAGGAGUGGAGCCUGCGGCUUAAUUUGACUCAACACGGG